rnacentral:rRNA from 1 species
GACGAACGCUGGCGGCGUGCUUAACACAUGCAAGUCGAACGGAAAGGCCCUGCUUUUGUGGGGUGCUCGAGUGGCGAACGGGUGAGUAACACGUGAGUAACCUGCCCUUGACUUUGGGAUAACUUCAGGAAACUGGGGCUAAUACCGGAUAGGAGCUCCUGCUGCAUGGUGGGGGUUGGAAAGUUUCGGCGGUUGGGGAUGGACUCGCGGCUUAUCAGCUUGUUGGUGGGGUAGUGGCUUACCAAGGCUUUGACGGGUAGCCGGCCUGAGAGGGUGACCGGCCACAUUGGGACUGAGAUACGGCCCAGACUCCUACGGGAGGCAGCAGUGGGGAAUAUUGCACAAUGGGCGGAAGCCUGAUGCAGCGACGCCGCGUGCGGGAUAACUGACUUCGGGUUGUAAACCGCUUUAGCCUGUGACGAAGCGUGAGUGACGGUAAUGGGUAAAGAAGCACCGGCUAACUACGUG